CUUCCAUUAAUCUUGCUUGCUUUUGUAUUUCUGGAUUAUUUCUUCAAUGGAUCUUGAUGAUAUGCCCGGUUGGGUUUUCGGUUAAGUUUUAAUUUGAAAGGAUUUGACCUUGUCUCUAUGCAUGCCAUUCUUGUGCUCUAGCUUGCUUCUAAUUUUUAUUGUGUGCUGGUGUGCUUCGUGUAUUUUGGCUUACAAUCUGCUUAUUGAUAAACUAUUGAAUUGGAAAUUUGGCUUCCCCGGAUUUUUUUGGGGUGGUUAACGAAACUCUUAGGUUUCCAGAAAGCGUCCCCCCAAGCCUCCAUUUGGAUCAUUUACCUUGAUUAGAUGUUCUUGUAUCUGAUGUAUGAACUCAUCUGAACUGUGCUUUAUCUCGAGUAAAUGAGGUCUACUACUGUAAUCUCCUUGUGUGUAAUGAACUGUAGUCAAAUAAAAUAUUUUGAUGACGAACGAUUAUCCUGUCAAGGGUAUUAAAAUGCACGCAUAUGACCGGUUGUCUAACUGGCCAGUUUCAGACUGUACCGAAUUAACAUCUUGGUGUAUUUGGUCAUGCUAUUUUUGGAUUAUUAAUAAUUUUCAGUAAAGAACUAACUGCAGUUGGAGGACCUGUAUAAUCGAUUAUCUAUUUGUCGUUGCAUUUAUUUUCCGAUGAGCACUCAUGUAUGUUUAUUGUUCCGGAAACUUCCUUGUACCUCGGAAUGUUCAAUUAUGAUUGUGUAUGUGGGGGUCCAAUCAACGCACGCUAUUUUUUUGUUCCGUUUCAUUGGACCAUCUUCCUGCCAUUACAUAUUUGGCAAGUAGUGUUCAAAUGCAACAUCGAAUUUCCUUAUUCUUUUAGAGAUAAAGCUCAAGUAUUGUUAGAGCUGUUGCUUUAGAAAUGGUCUUAUUGGAGUCUGAUUGAGGAGAUAAAGCAGUUAUUCUUACGAUGCAUAUGGUAACAAUGUAAACCAGAUGCAGAAUGUGACUCAAGUGCAUAGAAUCAGGUACAUUUGGGCUAGAAGAAGUAGUAGAGCCGAACAUGAUAAGUGGAGUUCAUGGAGCAUUUGAAGGGGUGGUCUGAAUAUCCGGUGCAUAGAUAAUUCCAUUAGUUGUUAGAGAUUAUGAACAUUGCAUUAUAUGGAACUUGGUAUUUUUGUCGCUGUUUGUUGAGGAUACAUUUGGAUGUUCAAAACGGUUGUAUUUUGAAUCAUAUUGGUGCGCUUGAAUGGUUAUUGAGUCACCUAUCCAACAAGACAGAGAUCUUGUGAUACCAGCUUGUACUGGGAGAGGUAUGAUCAAAUAACUGAUGGGUGUUGAUCUCUGAUGGGAUUCUAUUUUUAGAUGUCUAAUUCGAGUAGGGAUUUUAUUUUUAUAUGUUUCUGUAAUUAAUUGUUUCAUUUGACUAGGAUACUUAGAUUCAUUUCAAGAGUCUAUAUUAUUAAAUAGAGUUUCUUAUUUGGUUUAGGAUUUUCAUCUUAGAAUCAAAGUCAUACUCGUUUUUUAGAUGAAUUAUCUGUAUAUAGGGCUCUAUAAACAACUUUGUGUGUGUUGGUAUUGGUUUGGUGUUGUGGGCUUAUUCUCCUUCCUCAUUGUUGUAUUUCCAAUUUAGCGGCCUGGUUGACUUGACGUUCUUAUUCAUGGUUCUGUUCUGUAUUUUGUUGUUAAAUCUUUAACUAUUCUAUUUUGUUAGUGUUUCUGGUAUCUUUUUUUGUCCAUUAAUUACAUAUUGUUUAAUUUUUAUUAUUCUCUUUUUUUAUCCGUUAAUUACAUCUUGUUUAAGUUCAAUUAUUCUUUCUUUUCUUCACUAAUUACAUCUUGUUUAAUUUCUAUUAUUUUCUUUCUUUUCUCCAUUAACUACAUCUAUUUAACUUGUGUUUUAAAAAUUUCUCCUCCAUUCCUUGGGCCGCUACUUGUGGGUGCAAAAGUGUCUUUAUUUUUGUAUCCAUUUCCUGCUUCACUGAUUCUACAAUAUUCUACUGAGAUCUAUCUCCAUGAAUCUUUAUUGUAUGGAUGCCACUUAGAAAGCAUUGUUGCCCUAAUGUAUGGUGUAUCAUGGGAAGGACAUGACUUGCCUGGGCCUUUGAUUUGUCGUUUAUCUGUUGGAGACUCUUUCCUUACAGAUGGAACCCCUGUCAUGCAUGAUCAAUAUGGUGCUUGCAUGUAAUGGUCCCAAGGAAAGAUGGGCCCAUAAUCUCCAUGUUUGUGGUUUCCCGCUGUAAAAGAGUUUACUGGGGUUGGAGCUACCAUAGGAGUCACUGUUAUCCAAAGGGAAGGAGGGAAACUUAUGCACUUUUGACUGGCUUGGUUAUCUUGAUCAGUUGGAACCAAAUCCCCCAUUAGUACAUUAGAAUUUAUCAUAGUUGUCACGGCGUUGCCAAGGCGGUGAUUAGGCGUCCCGGCGUUUUGCAGAGGGCAAAUCGGUGGAACGAUUAGGGUCAGUCUCAUUAAUCAACCACCAAAGGGCCGUUUGGCAUCGCCAAAUCGUCCCUGGCGACGAUUUAUUACGUUUUGUACAUUAAUCGGUCGCCGUUUUGUUUUGUUUUUGUUUUGUUUUUUUUUUUUUUAAAGUUUUUAUUGUUAAUUAUUAAUAUUGAUUCUCUUUCUAACAAUAUGAUUGGCAGGUAUAAUUGAAGUGUAAAAAUCAAUGCUACAUGGGAUAAGUCCCUUAUGCUAAAAGUGUAAAUUAAGUUGUACCAAAAAACAAAAAUGUAAAUUAAAGCCUAAAUCCCUAAUAGACAAGUCUCGACUUGCAACUCUCUUCAACGGUAAGACCAACAGUUCAACCCUAAGUCUGAAGGCGAAGAACGAAGAGACGAAGAGUUCUGCUCCUGCUCUGGCGAUUCCUGCUUUCGUGCUCCGGCAAAGAUAAGUAUGAAUCCUUGCCUCUAUUUUCUGUUAUGUUUGACUUUUCUUCACCUCUUUUUUUAUUUUCCUUUUUUCUGCUACUAUUCAGUGAUUCAGUCUCUGGCUCAGCCAGUCUUCUCUCCUUCUCUUCUUCUAUUCUUUUGUUCUUCUAAUCUUCUUCUUCCUUGCCUCCGGUAGUCUGGUUUGUUCGACUCUUCUUCACCUCUUUUUUUUUCCCCCUUUUUUUGCUACUAGUCAGUCUCUUCUCUUAUCUUCUCUUAUGUUCUUCUAAUCUUCUUCUCCCUCUUCCUUAGUUCCUUGCCUCUGCCCUCUGGUUUGUUCAACUCUUCUUCACCUCUUUUUUUUUUUUUUUUU